rnacentral:rRNA from 1 species
UGAGGAAUAUUGGUCAAUGGGCGCAAGCCUGAACCAGCCAUGCCGCGUGCAGGAUGAAGCAUCUAUGGUGUGUAAACUGCUUUUGUACGGGAAGAAAUCACCCCUCGUGAGGGGUAUUGACGGUACCGUAAGAAUAAGGAUCGGCUAACUCCGUGCCAGCAGCCGCGGUAAUACGGAGGAUCCAAGCGUUAUCCGGAAUCAUUGGGUUUAAAGGGUCCGUAGGCGGGUCUGUAAGUCAGUGGUGAAAUCUCCCCGCUCAACGGGGAAACUGCCAUUGAUACUGCAGGUCUUGAAUUAUUGGGAAGUAACUAGAAUAUGUAGUGUAGCGGUGAAAUGCUUAGAGAUUACAUGGAAUACCAGUGGCGAAGGCGCUGACCUGGACGAAGAUUGACGCUGAGGUGCGAAAGCGCGGGGAGCAAACA